CAAAAGCGUAUAUUAAAGUUGUUGCAGUUAAAAAGCUCGUAGUUGAACCUUAGGCUUGGCUGGCCGGUCCAUCUUUUUUGAUGCGUACUGGACCCAGCCGAGCCUUUCCUUCUGGCUAGCCUUUUGGCGAACCAGGACUUUUACUUUGAAAAAAUUAGAGUGUUCAAAGCAGGCCUUUGCUCGAAUAUAUUAGCAUGGAAUAAUAGAAUAGGACGUUAUGGUUCUAUUUUGUUGGUUUCUAGGACCAUCGUAAUGAUUAAUAGGGACGGUCGGGGGUAUCAGUAUUCAGUUGUCAGAGGUGAAAUUCUUGGAUUUACUGAAGACUAACUACUGCGAAAGCAUUUACCAAGGACGUUUUCAUUAA
rnacentral:rRNA from 1 species